rfam:Stegodyphus mimosarum contig114004, whole genome shotgun sequence.
GCCUUCGUGGUGUAGUGGUCAGCACACUGGGCGUGUAUUCGAGAGGUCAGUGGUUCGAGUCCUGGCGAGGGCA